CACCGGGCUGCACUGAGGCCUCUGUGCCUGUCUCUGAUGCCAGAGUUGCCAUGAAGCCUAGGAAGGCAAUGCAAGAAAGAAAGGCCUUGCCUUCUCCUCCAUGACCCUUCCAGUGCUCCUCCCUCGGGCAGUCUGAGCCUUCCAGAGCAACCUGGGGAGCCCCGGCUCCCCACAGAGCCCCGACACCACUCAGCCCUGCAGAGAUGCAGGGUCCCACAGCAGCCCAUGAAGCCACCACCAUGUGCCCACAGCCAGGGCCCCACAGGGUCCCUGCGUGUCCCCGGCUCCCUGAAAUGGCCACAGCUCCCGGCAGCAGGGAGAGGAGGGACCCGGGAAGCCUCAGCUGCAGGGGACCCAAGCACGGCUCAGGCUGGGACUGUGAGCCAGGCUGGCUCCUCACCGGCAGCCCCGCAGGAGCAGGACCUGCAGCUCCAGCUCUGCUCUCCAGCAGAGCCAUAGCUCGGUGCAGGGCUCAGGGCAGGAGACAGGAGGGAAUAAGUCUCCAGUUUGUUCCUAACUUAGCUGCCUGCCACAGGAUGGGUGUGUGGGGGACCUGCGAGCCCUCACUCUGCACCAGGAGAUGCAUGGCCAGAGCCUCUGUGGCUCCACACAGCCGACAGUCAGGGUGUGAAAGAACUGAUGGCAGGACACAGCCAGGAGCCAGAGCAGAGCCAGGCUCUGACCAUCCCUAGGCGAGCAAAAACACCCCUAUUCCAAAUCCUCUGGUGCCUUGGGAGCUCCCUCCAGCACUGCCUGUCCCACAAGCCCUGCAGCAACCUCAGCAGCCAGGAAACGCUGGCAGGAGUGAAAGGGAUUGAGAAACUGCAGGCAGCAGGAUGAGACAUGAGCCAGCACAAGCAGGAUGUGACUCGGGGGUGACUGGGACUGCCGGAGCGGUGUCACCAGGAAUCAGUACCUGGGGCCCAUCCUGUACCCUCCCAUGCUCCUCACAGCUAAGCCCAAGCCCAACCUCUGUUCCCCACACAAAUCACCAGGUCCCAUUUGUAUUUCACCACCUAAAUCCUCUGUUAACAGCACGGUGAUGUUUUCUCCCUCUAUCCACCCCAGGCUUUUACACUCCCAACCUGCCCAAGGCUGUUGCCCAGGGCUAUCCCUGUCACCACAGUGCCCCAGCCCCCUCACCCCAUCUGCAGGGCACAGCUGAUAUUUCCCAAGAUUUUUUCAGCACAGACUGGAUGGCAGCAGUUUGGGGUGAAGGGGAGCUCAGACACUGGCUAGACUUCCCCCUUGUCCUGCCUCAAACCAGCUGUUGUAGUGCUGCAGGAAAGGAGAAAGGAGAUGAUGAUUGAGGAGAAGCAGGGAAGAAAAAACACAGGAUUUUUUUUUUUUUUUCCCUACUAAACACCCAAAGCUUUGUUUAUCCACCAGCCCCUCAAGCUGAGGCUGGCUGAUUCCAAGGUGGCCCCUUCCAUGGUGCUGUCUUCCCUGUAGCUCCCAUCUCCUAUUCCCUCAGUCCCUCCCCUGCGUGGGCCAUGAUCCCUGGUGGGGUGUCCAGCUCACCCUCACAUUUCACAGCUCCAGCAUGGCUAAGGAAAGCCAACUUAGCUGGCAUUCCUGCAGAAUUACCUGUUCUUCCAGCCAAGGAGCUCAGCUGAAUUCCCCUACCUGCAUCCGGGCUCACCAGCCUUCCCUUCAUGUGGGAAAUUAUUUACCUUGGGUGAGGAAAAACAGAGCAAAAGUGGAUUUAACAGCUGUUAAAUCCAGUAAAGCCCAAAGCUUCUUCUGCUUCAGCUGCUUCCUUGCUAUGGGGGAGGAGAGCAGGGAGAUGUCAGCCUGCCGUGGACACCCAGGACAUCCAAGGACACUCAGGACACCCAAGCCUCGGGUAGAUAAGGUCAUCCCACAUUCCUACAGAAAAACACCAUGAUAAAAACCCUAUUGCACUAACAGCUCCAACACUAGACAACAAAAUCUCAGGGGGGUAAGAUGUUGCACCUCUUCUUUUCCAUCUCUCCCACAGGCAGGGCACAAGGACAUCUUCCCAGGGGAGAGAAAAUUCCAAAGCUUGGGAUGGAGAAACAGCACUGCAGGAGUGCAGUUAAGGCUGGAUGCCAGGAUAUCCUUCUGGGACACACCUCUGGACUCAGGAGGAUGCAGGAGCAAACCAACACAUCACAGCAAUGCCCCAAAACUCAGCUGCUCCCUGGGUAGCACACUGUCUCCAAGGUGGGCCAAAACCUUAUCCUCCAUCCCUGAUCCAGGAGUGUCCCCAUUGUCUUUCCAUGGCCAGCUCCAACCCUGGCAGGGAGGCACCAGCUGGGAGGCUGUGAUGGGGACUUGCACUGUGCUCUACUCUCUUGGUCACUGUCAUCUUUCCAGGAGCUGAGGAGGAAUUUCUUUGUUUGAUUUUGAGGGAAUAGUAAAUUCACAAACAAUCAGAAGAUUCAAAAAGGCUGAAUCAUCCUGAAACUCAGGGUGAAAUUGAAAAAGUCUUUGGAAUGAAAAAAAGUAAUACCAGUGCCAGGCAAAGGAGAUGGCUUUGAAGAUGUAAACCACCUUCUCCCAUCAGUCACCUGAUGAUCUGUUGUAUUCUGGCAUUUUCUAAAAGAAUCUUCUUGAUUUCUUCAUUUUAAAAAAGCCUAUUUUUUUCAAUUCAAAAAUUGUCUCAAUGUAAAAGAAAAUAUCUAAGUAAAUUAGGCAAAUCCCAAACAGAAAAAACCAAAACCAUUUCAGGCUAAACCAAACAUUCUGGCUUUACCUAAAACAAUUGCUUACACCAGGAUGGGGUGGUUUCUUUUCUUUCGCAUUUUACCAGAAAUUGCCUACUAAAUCCUUGUUUUGAGUUGGCAUGGUCCAAUUCCCACACCAAAGACAUUCCAUUUGGGCACCAAGCAACACUUUCCAUUCAUUUUUCCAGCAACAUGGUUCUCCACCAAUGGACCAGACCCACUGCAGUAGAUGAACCCUUUGGUUCUCCUUCCUUACAGACCUCAGAGCCUGCCCUGUGCACCCUGCCCAGGACCCUCAAGGAACCUCCUCUGGAGAGGGGAACACUCUCUCUUCUCAGGAGAUCUGAUUUCCAACCCAGCCCAACCCGAUUUAACUCAACCCAACCCUAUGCUACCCAUCCUUCUUGUUGCCACCACCCAUACCCCCAGCCUCCAAGCCUGCCAACCUGGACUAGGUGGCAUCAUAUCCAACCCAAGCUCACCACGCAGCCAUGGCCCCAAGAAAAGGAAUUUACUAGCCAAAAAAAGCACAAAAAACCAAAAAAAAAAAAACC
rnacentral:lncRNA from 1 species